UAUACUAAUGAGCGAUAGUGAAGGAGAGCAGGGACCAAGCUAAUUUUCUGAAUAUUUAGGAGAGGAAGAUCAACUCUUUUCUACAACUUUGGGGUAAAGGCAUAGUAUUAUGUUAACAUAAUUUAAUUAGCUUAAUUUUAGUUUAUUAAUGGUAUUAUAUUAUUAUUUUAUGUUUCUGAUGUUAUAUUAUUACCCUUUUCAACUUGCAAGUUUUUAUUUUUUAUUAAAAUUGUAUUUAAAUAUUAUUUAAGUCAGAGUUAGCUAGCUCGAGGUACACCUGCACGGCUCCAUAGCUCAGUGGACAGAGCGCUGGUCUCCUAAACCAGAGGUCGCGAGUUCGAUUCUCGCUGGAGUCGCAGUUAGCUAGCUCGAGGUACACCUGCACGGCUCCAUAGCUCAGUGGACAGAGCGCUGGUCUUCUAAACCAGAGGUCGCGAGUUCGAUCCUCGCUGGAGUCGCAGCUAGCUAGCACGAGGGAAACCUGCACGGCUCCAUAGCUCAGUGGACAGAGCGCUGGUCUACGAAACCAGAGGUCGCGAGUUCGAUUCUCGCUGGAGUCGCAGCUAGCUAGCUCGAGGGAAACCUGCACGGCUCCAUAGCUCAGUGGACAGAGCGCUGGUCUACGAAACCAGAGGGCGCGAGUUCGAUCCUCGCUGGAGUCGCAGUUAGCUAGCUCGAGGUACACCUGCACGGCUCCAUAGCUCAGUGGACAGAGCGCUGGUCUACGAAACCAGAGGUCGCGAGUUCGAUUCUCGCUGGAGUCGCAGCUAGCUAGCACGAGGGAAACCUGCACGGCUCCAUAGCUCAGUGGACAGAGCGCUGGUCUCCGAAACCAGAGGUCGCGAGUUCGAU